rnacentral:lncRNA from 1 species
UAGGAUGAAAGCUGAAGGUGCUUAGUUGGAAGAAUACAGAAAUGGGACAAGAUUUUAUAGCAAAUUUGGCUAUGAAAUCUUAUCUUUUAUUAUGCAUGCUGCAGAAAUGUGACUAUUUCUGCAGCUCAGUGUGCGGGUGCAUUUCAGCUAGCAGCAAUACACUUCUUGACAGCAAACUAUGUCUUUUUUCCUUGAUAUUGUCCCAUAACUUUUGUAUCAAGCCUGUUAUUGUUGACCUUUUUUGUUAAGUAGUCUUAACAGAUAACAGAUUUUGCUGGACAGCAUUCUCUCAAAUCAUCUUGUAGGCUGGUGUGACCAUAUAUGAAUUCUUGUUUCCAUCAUUUCACAGUUUGAUAUGAUGGAUGUUCCUCGCUAUACAUAGCC